rnacentral:rRNA from 1 species
AAGGCCCUUCGGGGUACUCGAGUGGCGAACGGGUGAGUAACACGUGGGUGAUCUGCCCUGCACUUUGGGAUAAGCCUGGGAAACUGGGUCUAAUACCGAAUAUGACCGCGCUCUUCAUGGGGUGUGGUGGAAAGCUUUUGCGGUGUGGGAUGGGCCCGCGGCCUAUCAGCUUGUUGGUGGGGUAAUGGCCUACCAAGGCGACGACGGGUAGCCGGCCUGAGAGGGUGACCGGCCACACUGGGACUGAGAUACGGCCCAGACUCCUACGGGAGGCAGCAGUGGGGAAUAUUGCACAAUGGGCGCAAGCCUGAUGCAGCGACGCCGCGUGAGGGAUGACGGCCUUCGGGUUGUAAACCUCUUUCAAUAGGGACGAAGCGCAAGUGACGGUACCUAUAGAAGAAGGACCGGCCAACUACGUGCCAGCAGCCGCGGUAAUACGUAGGGUCCGAGCGUUGUCCGGAAUUACUGGGCGUAAAGAGCUCGUAGGUGGUUUGUCGCGUUGUUCGUGAAAACUCACAGCUUAACUGUGGGCGUGCGGGCGAUACGGGCAGACUAGAGUACUGCAGGGGAGACUGGAAUUCCUGGUGUAGCGGUGGAAUGCGCAGAUAUCAGGAGGAACACCGGUGGCGAAGGCGGGUCUCUGGGCAGUAACUGACGCUGAGGAGCGAAAGCGUGGGGAGCGAACAGGAUUAGAUACCCUGGUAGUCCACGCCGUAAACGGUGGGUACUAGGUGUGGGUUUCCUUCCUUGGGAUCCGUGCCGUAGCUAACGCAUUAAGUACCCCGCCUGGGGAGUACGGCCGCAAGGCUAAAACUCAAAGGAAUUGACGGGGGGCCCGCACAAGCGGCGGAGCAUGUGGAUUAAUUCGAUGCAACGCGAAGAACCUUUACCUGGGUUUGACAUGCACAGGACGCCAGUAGAGAUAUUGGUUCCCUUGUGGCCUGUGUGCAGGUGGUGCAUGGCUGUCGUCAGCUCGUGUCGUGAGAUGU